rnacentral:rRNA from 1 species
CACGUAGGGCGCAAGCGUUGUCCGGAAUUAUUGGGCGUAAAGAGCUCGUAGGUGGCCAACUAAGUCAGACGUGAAAUCCCUCGGCUUAACCGGGGAACUGCGUCUGAUACUGGAUGGCUUGAGUUUGGGAGAGGGACGCGGAAUUCCAGGUGUAGCGGUGAAAUGCGUAGAUAUCUGGAGGAACACCGGUGGCGAAGGCGGCAUCCUGGACCAACACUGACGCUGAGGAGCGAAAGCCAGGGGAGCAAACGGG